CGGAGAAGGAGCCUGAAAAACGGCUACCACAUCCAAGGAAGGCAGCAGGCGCGUAAAUUACCCAAUCUAGAAACUAGGAGGUAGUGACAAUAAAUAACGAUGCCGGGCCUUUAUAGGUCUGGCAAUUGGAAUGAGAACAAUUUAAACCCCUUAUUGAGGAUCAAUUGGAGGGCAAGUCUGGUGCCAGCAGCCGCGGUAAUUCCAGCUCCAAUAGCGUAUAUUAAAGUUGUUGCAGUUAAAAAGCUCGUAGUUGAAUUUGUGGUGUUGCCUGUGGUCCAAAAUGUUUUGGUACUGUUGAGCACUGCCAUCCUUGGGUGGAACCUGUGAGGCAUUAGGUUGUUUUGCAGGGGAUGCCCAUCUUUUACUGUGAAAAAAUUAGAGUGUUCAAAGCANGCUUAUGCCGUUGAAUAUAUUAGCAUGGAAUAAUAAGAUAGGACUUGUUUGCUAUUUUGUUGGUUUGCGCAAAUAGGUAAUGAUUAAUAGGGACAGUUKGGGGUAU
rnacentral:rRNA from 1 species